CUAUCAGUAUUCCCAGUGUGGUGAGUGAACAUGAGGUCUUCCUGCCCAGGCUCAUCACCCAGCGACGCUUCUCUAGUCACGCCACGGGCAGCGCCCAGCCUGAACCCAGCACCCGCAGCACCAUGCUGCCCAGCCACAGUGAACCCAAUGUGCUAGAUGAGUCUCAAGGACUGGAAGAGGGUAACCUGUCUAGGGUGGCCAGUGUGCAGAGUGAACCAGGCCAGCAGAACCUCUUGAACCAACCUCCGCUGGGACGCAAUAGAGGACUGAGACAG